rnacentral:rRNA from 1 species
UACGGGGGGGGCAAGCGUUGUUCGGAAUUACUGGGCGUAAAGGGCUCGUAGGCGGCCAACUAAGUCAGACGUGAAAUCCCUCGGCUUAACCGGGGAACUGCAUCUGAUACUGGAUGGCUUGAGUUCGGGAGAGGGAUGCGGAAUUCCAGGUGUAGCGGUGGAAUGCGCAGAUAUCCGGAGGAACACCGGUGGCGAAGGCGGCUUCCUGGACCGACACUGACGCUGAGGCGCGAAAGCUAGGGGAGCAAACGGG